AGAUUGAACGCUGGCGGCAUGCCUUACACAUGCAAGUCGAACGGUAACGCGGGGGCAACCCUGGCGACGAGUGGCGAACGGGUGAGUAAUACAUCGGAACGUACCCAGUAGUGGGGGAUAGCUCGGCGAAAGCCGGAUUAAUACCGCAUACGACCUACGGGUGAAAGCGGGGGAUCGAAAGACCUCGUGCUAUUGGAGCGGCCGAUGUCGGAUUAGCUAGUUGGUGAGGUAAAGGCUCACCAAGGCUACGAUCCGUAGCUGGUCUGAGAGGACGACCAGCCACACUGGGACUGAGACACGGCCCAGACUCCUACGGGAGGCAGCAGUGGGGAAUUUUGGACAAUGGGCGAAAGCCUGAUCCAGCCAUGCCGCGUGUGUGAAGAAGGCCUUCGGGUUGUAAAGCACUUUGUUCGGAACGAACGCCAAGGUCGAAUAAACCUUGGUAAUGACGGUACCGGAAGAAUAAGCACCGGCUAACUACGUGCCAGCAGCGCGGU
rnacentral:rRNA from 1 species